AGAAUCUGCAACCACAAGACAUGAGCAUUUUUAUCAGCACGUGAGAAGUUACCAGAGACCUGGAAGCUGGAGCCUGAUGUGUCCAGUGGUUUGAAUAUAAAAGACAAUGGCAUUGAUCUACUUUGGACACUCGUGAACAGACUUAACCACUUUAACACCAAGUUUCUCUAUUUGCAAGGAAGGAAAAAAUUUCGUGAUGCCUUUUGAAAUGACAAGGACAUCAUAAAGAUUAAUACAUUCGCAUCUCUCCUGUCCCUUAGUACAGAGAAACACUUCCUUCCUUCCAGAGUCUGGAGAUGACUGCAGUGCAGGGCAAAAGCUAUGGGCCUUGG